rnacentral:rRNA from 1 species
GGAAUAUUGGACAAUGGGGGCAACCCUGAUCCAGCCAUGCCGCGUGCGUGAAGAAGGCCUUAGGGUUGUAAAGCGCUUUCACUGGUGAAGAUGAUGACGGUAGCCAGAGAAGAAGCCCCGGCUAACUCCGUGCCAGCAGCCGCGGUAACACGGAGGGGGCAAGCGUUGUUCGGAAUUACUGGGCGUAAAGCGCGCGUAGGCGGAUUGGAAAGUUGGGGGUGAAAUCCCGGGGCUCAACCCCGGAACUGCCUCCAAAACUAUCAGUCUGGAGUUCGAGAGAGGUGAGUGGAAUUCCGAGUGUAGAGGUGAAAUUCGUAGAUAUUCGGAGGAACACCAGUGGCGAAGGCGGCUCACUGGCUCGAUACUGACGCUGAGGUGCGAAAGUGUGGGGAGCA